rnacentral:rRNA from 1 species
AGAGAGAGACAUGCGCGCAUAUCAAUAAGCGGAGGAAAAGAAACUAACAAGGAUUCCCCUAGUAACGGCGAGUGAAGCGGGAAGAGCUCAAAUUUGAAAUCUUAAAGGGUUUCCCUUUACGAAUUGUAGUUUAAAGAAGUGUUUUCUGUUGAGGUUUUGGUAAAAGUUCUUUGGAAUAGGACAUCAUAGAGGGUGAGAAUCCCGUAUUUGACCUUUACUUUCAACUUUGUGAUACACUUUCAAAGAGUCGGAUUGUUUGGGAAUGCAGUCCAAAAUGGGUGGUAAAUUUCAUCUAAAGCUAAAUAUUGGCGAGAGACCGAUAGCGAACAAGUACCGUGAGGGAAAGAUGAAAAGAACUUUGAAAAGAGAGUUAAACAGUACGUGAAAUUGUCAAAAGGGAAGCGUUUGACACCAGUGUUGUUUUUCUGAAAAUCAAUUAAAGAACUGUUUAUGCUAAGCUGUUUAGACUUUAUCAGCUAAUCUGUUUAGUUUUGAGCUUUUCUUUAAUGCACUUUUCAGUUAACAAGUCAACAUCAAUUUCUUUUGCUGUAAAAAAGCUUGAGGAAGGUGGCUUGAGAUUCGUCUUAAGUGUUUAUAGCCUCUUGCCUAUGCAGUCGGAGAGAUUGAGGUCUGCAGCGUAGAUCCUUCGGGGCUAAAUGCAUUUGUGCUAAGUUAUAGCAUUUUAUAGACAACUUGUUGACUAUGAUUUGUCUUGUAGCUUACUCGCUUAUGUUAUUUUACCUACGCUUAGGAUGUUGACGCAUGAGAUAUACGC